ACCGCAGAGGUUUUAGCUAACAGUUAAAAAAGCAAUGGGGAUGUCUGUUAACCCUCGCUAGGCCCCAGAAUAAUAUGAUGCAUACACAGUCUAAAUCAUUUCAGUGGAGUUUGGUGUCACUCCCUCAGCAUUCAACAGCAUGAGUUCUUCAGCCCAGUAGAUCUACUACAUGGACAUCAGAUUUCGUUGUGGAAAUGUGAUCGCAAAUUGUGGAUUUACUUAGCUGUUCCUGUUGACUUCACAUUGGAUUUACUUCACUGUUCCUGUUGGAUUGUUUGUUGCUGAGAUAUCACAUGAGUCGACACUGGAUUUAAAGGUUGUGUACUGCUCUCUGAUGAUGAGAUCGUGCCGGCGUGUCCUGCGCUCAGCUGAGAUCCAGAGGAGGAUGUGAUGGACUACAAAAGGGCUAAUUCAGGCAGCGGCUCUCAGGGCUCUAUCGAGAGGCCUGCUUCUCUUCCAACUCCCAGAAGUCCAUGCAGCUACGGACAACAGAUGAAGUGCAGUGGUCGCUGUGGGAAAUGUAGUCUGUUACUCGCCGGCUUGCGAGGCUUGACGGUACGUGACUAAUUAGGUCAGUUCCUCUGGCAGCUGCAGGUGAGAGGUGCUCGCUCGUGUUUGCUUCGUGUUGAACGCCUCCGGGACAAUGGAGCUUCAGAGCCGCAGGUUUUUAUGGAUUGCCGGGGUGAAAUGAAUCUCAGGCUUUUAAAGAGCGAGGCCCAUGUGUGCAUUUAGGAAAACUCUCAGCUUCAAAGAAUCAGUUUGAUUACCGCGACGUCAAUCUGGGAAAGAUAUCGUGAAAGUCAUUAUCAUAAAGAACCAGUUCUAAAGGUCAACUAAUGUUUGAACUACAGGUCACCCGAUAUGGCUUUGCAAUGUCUGAUGUCAGUAUUUUUAUCUAGAGAGUAGUGUCGUCAAAAGUACCCACCAAAUCGGUACUGAAAUUUUAAAAAUGUGACAAUACCAGCAUUUCCCCUGAAGCGAAUUCUUAAAUAGCUUUGAUUGGUCAUUGUGUUCAUGUGCUCAACAGAUAUGUCUGUGAUUGGCUACAAUGAUCAACCCUCAAAAACAUGUUGUAAAUAAACAUCUGUGACGUGUUUGAAAGCAGGCAUCUAUCAGCGUAUCAGUCUAUCAGUGGAUAUAUUAGUGGUAUAUAUAUAUAUUAUCCAAGUAAGCGCUCAGUGAAGAGCGUCACAGAUGUCUAUUUACAACAUGUUUUUGAAGCGUUGAUCAUU